UUUGGCAGGGAACCAUAUUUCCCAGCAUGCAUUGAAAAGGAAGUUAAACCUACUUGACGUGAUCCGCAUGCGCGAUGUAGGUGGUGGUUACGCCCACCUGAAUGCCAGUAUUUCGUUGUACUUUUAUAUACGUGAGUGGCGGCUGGUGUAGGUUUUUGUCUGCUAAAAACCGUACUUUUUUUUUCUUCUUCUCAAAAACAAACCGGAAACCUAUGCUAAGAUCAUUACACUUUUGGAUUCUAAUAGUGGCUAUCCAAAUAGCAAUAUCGUAGAAUAUAUUUAAAAGCGGGUCUAUUGAAAACAGAUCUCUUCGUCAGUAAUCGUGGGCUGGAUUACGCUGUAAAAGGCUAUAGCUGCAGCCUUAGACGGAUUUACCUAGAAGCAACCUUUGUGACCUGUGUGCUACUUCAUGCAGAAAGGAACCUAAAGGAAACAUUUGCUUUAAAAUGCUUUUAAAGGAUUUGCGUUUGUUCUUUCAAGAAAUCUGAUUGGAUUAAUUCCUAUAUUUUAUUAUCCUGCCCAUGCGAAAUGUCCGCAUUUCCAAAUAGUUGAUCAUUGAAGAAGAAUUGUAUCCUUCUCUGCCUGAUAGAUAAUUAAUCCAAGAAACAGCUCUUGCUGACAUAUUCUUGGUCUUGACAAUCUUUGUAGCAUAUCCAUGUGAUAAAUCUUUUUUAGCUAAUGGGCGGAAGGAAUAACCUUGAGGAAAUGGCAGAAGAGCCACAAUCAAUACAAAGGUCAAAUAAAAGAGAGCUGCAUGCAGGGCAGAAGUUCUCUAACCCGAAUAAGCAUCUCAGACAAGACCCACCUAGUUCUCACGAAGAUAAAGGAAAGGAGGGGGAAAGCAUAUCCAGACUUGCAAGAUUCUGUUUAUGUAACCUUAUAAUAAAAAUAUAUUAGCAUGUAUGAUUUUGGUUUCCUAGCCUGGUCUAUUGUAAAGGGCUGACACAUUUCCAUAUUGCUGAGAAUUCCCUUGCCAGGGUUCUCAUAACAUUCUUGUCUUACUACUUCAGUCUCCUUCCUCUUUAUGCUGAUGCUGAUGUAAGUCUCCUUUUGUUUUAGUGUGUUUUUGAAUUCCCCUGUAGUCGUUUAUGAUCAGUAUUUUACGGCUUAAUAGUAUUAUGCAAUCUCAGCUAGUUAGAUUGGAUUCAGACACAUAAUUUCAAUGCCUCAACCCCACCCACCCCGAUUUAAAAAUGUUUCAUAGAUGCUGUCAAAAGUUAUGAGAUACAGUAUCAAAAUCUGGGUUAAAUAGUUCAAUGAUUAUCAGUAAUAAAUUGAUUUUUAAACCUACUUUCCAAAUGCAGCAAGAGCUUCGGGAAUUAAAAUAUGAAAACAAAAUAAACUAGAGGAUUGAAGUCUGAAUAAGAAUGAAUAAGGUCCUAAUAAAUGGUUUUUGAUCAUAAUAUAUCAUCAUUACAAUUUUAACAUUAUUUUGUAUUGCUGGAUUUACUGAGGUUCUUAUGUUUACAUGUCUUUGUAAUGUAAACUAUGUAAUAUAAGAAAGUUAUUUACAGCCUUCCUCUUCUUGUUAGCUGGUUAUAGAAAUUGAAGUAAUUUAGUCACUUUUGGGGGGGAUCAGGGUGACUGAUAAAAAUAAACUAAACAGCUUGAUCUUCUCAAAUAACCUUCGGGCUGAGUUUAUUACUCAAAUAUGGUAGGAGGCAAAUAAGCUAUCACCAGAAAACGAUCAUGUUAGAUAUACCAUAGAUUUUAAUAACAUACAUGAUAUUGAGACUAGAAUGGUUACAUUUAAAAUAGAGACAGUGAAAAUACUUGUUUAUUGUUAUAGUCAAGUGGAUCUUCUCAUUUAAUAACAUUAUUUCAGAAAAGUUUUGGUAACAUGACUUACAUUGUACUUUUCUGGCUGUUUCAAAACUAUUAAGGCUGGAGUCUCCAGCUACUACUAGCAAGAGAAAGAUGUUGUUAAGGUAAUUUUUAAAGGUAUCAUAGUAAUUGAAAAUAUUUCUGAUAAACAGAAAAUUAAGUGAAGAAGUAAAUGGAAACUGCUUGGGAUUUUAGGUCCUUGACUGAUGACUAAAAUUCAGCCCAAAAUUUCUGUUGCUAAGUGAGACAGUUGUUAAGUGAGUUUUGCCUCAUUUUGUGACUUUUCUUGCCACAGCUGUUAAGUAAACCAAUGCAGUUGUUAAAUUAGUAAUGUGGAUAUUAACUGAAUCUGGUUUCUCGUUGACUUUGCUUGUCAGAAGGUUGCAAAAGAUGAUCACAUGACUCUGGGACACUGCAACCAUCAUAAAUAUGAGUCAGUUGCCCAGCAUCUGACCACGAGGAUGCUGCAAUGGUCGUCAGUGUGAAAAGGGUCAUAAGUCAUUUUUUUCAGUGCCAUUGUAAUUUCAAAUGGUCAGUAAAUAAACUGUUGAGGACUGCCUAUACUUGAAAAAGAUGUGGCAAUGUCAGUUUCACUUUUACCUUUCACCCAAUUUGAACUUUGUAAUGCAUAUUUAGUUUAAGUUUUUUUUCUUUAAUAUACUGAACAAAGAAAAUGAAAUCACCAUGUUAUAUCAGACUUUAAAACCACAUGCAUUAAAGAUGCUAAAAUUAUAUAAUAGUUUUAAUUUUGGUUUAAUGGUGACUCAAGCUAUUAUGAUUUAUAAGCUAUGGUUUCUACCUCUGGAUAUUAUGCAAAUGUACCCAGUUAAGGUAUAUUUAGUAAAAACAUAUGUUAAUUAAUGUAUGGUUUACUACAAAAUACAAACCAUCUAAGCAAUGACUGAGUUAAUCACAAUUUGUUAAAUAAGCAAGAAUGAUUGUUGGUGUAUAGAUUGGGCAUAGCUGCUGAAAUCUCAUAAAUAUUUAUGGGACAUUUUGAUUCAGCAAAGAAUUAGCUGGCAGAAUAAAGGCUCAUAUUUCAAUGCGAAUUUAAUUUAAAAUGUUAAAAUAUUUGUCUUUUAUUUCAGCCUUUCAGCCUAACUGUUUAAAUCAAUAACUAUGGCUACAGAAUAAUGAGAUUUGUUUGUGGCUUAAUAUGGUCUAUGUAUAGUACCUUGCUAAUUGGGUCUUGUUCAGAAAAUCAUUAUAAAAAUCAUGGGUUAGCACCACACAUAUAGCCAACCAAAGGGCAAUGUGCAUAUUAUUAACUGUCAACUAGAAUAAUGUAUGAAUAUAUACAUAAAGUAAUGUAAACCUAUCCAAAAUAAUUUAAAAUAAAAUAGUUUAGUGUGGACAUAAAUGUAGACAAUUUAGAAUGAUAUUUUUAACAAUAGAAAAUAUUUUAGAUUGUAACCCAUCCGAACAGAAGUUUAUAACCGUUGCAAUAUUGUGAGUGAUCCCCCUAAAUUCUAUAUAUUACUGAUUUGUUUUUGUUAUAUUUAGAAUAAAAACAUUGAUAAACCA